ACAAACUUGGUCAUUUAGAGGAAGUAAAAGUCGUAACAAGGUCUCCGUAGGUGAACCUGCGGAGGGAUCAUUACUGAGUGAGGGCUCACGCCCGACCUCCAACCCUUUGUGAACACAUCUUGUUGCUUCGGGGGCGACCCUGCCGGCACUUUGUCGCCGGGCGCCCCCGGAGGUCUUCAAACACUGCAUCAUUGCGUCGGAGUUUAAACAAAUUAAACAAAACUUUCAACAACGGAUCUCUUGGUUCUGGCAUCGAUGAAGAACGCAGC
rnacentral:misc_RNA from 1 species